rnacentral:sRNA from 1 species
GUAAGAGAUUUUGGAAAUUAUUGACCAAUAUAAGAACAUAUCUUUAUGUUUCCUGACAUCAGAAAAAGGCCUUGAGGGAGAAAUGGCUUCUAGAUGGAAUCAGCAGCGGAAAAGAACAGGAAGAGAUGAAGAAGCAAAAUCAACAAGACCAGCACCAGAUCCAGGUUCUAGAACAAAGUAUCCUCAGGUAUGGCCCUCACUGAGAUACUCCACAACUACCUUUAUUUUGACUUUAUCCCAUGUUGUGCAUAGACAUGCCAUUCUCACUUUCAGGGGCAUAAUCAAACCUUCCAUUUGAAUUUCUUUCUUUUUUUUUUUUUUAAGGCAUGCUUUCACACUGUCACCCAGGCUGGAGUGCAGUGGCAUGAUCUCGGCUCACGGCAACUUCCACUCCCAGGGCUCAAGCAAUUCUCCAGCCUCAGCCUCCUGAGUAGCUAGGAUGAUGGGCACCCACAACCAAUGCUUGGCUAAUUUUUGUAUUUUUGUAGAGACAGGGUUUCACCAUGUUGCCCAGGCUGGUCUAGAACUCCUGAGCUCAAAGUGAUGCACCUGCCUCGGCCUCCCGAUGUACAGGUGUGAGCCACCAUGGUCAGCCUUCCAUAUGAAUUUCUAAAAAAGGGAUUACAGGUGUCAGCCACUGCAGUCAGCCUUCCAUAUGAAUUUCUAAAAAAGACUAGGGAAACACACCAAAAGGCCACAGUAGAAAUUUUACUAUAAGUAUCACCUGAGUAUAGCAACACUAGAUUUAUUUUUAAGUGCAUAUUGAUGACUUACUCAUACCUCUCUGAGCCUAUUUCCUGCAGAAUGGUAGUAACAAUGCCUACCUUUUAAAAAAUGCAUGCGCUAAACUACCAGCACCUGCCUAGCACAUGGUAGGUACAGAAACAACAGUCCUUCUUCACAGCCCCAGCCCCUACUCUCACCUUAGGACAGGUGACAAGUCUACAGGUGUGUUUACCCGGUCCUUCCAUCAUAUUUCUCUCAGGCACCCCCCCCCCAGUCACAACCAUGAUAUUGGAAAGAAGGUUCUAUAGGAAUACUCUACUCACAGUUUCCCUCUUCUAGUUCUUUGAUGAUUUGGUCACAGGCGUUCACUUCAUUUCUCAACAUCCUUUCCUGCUUAUUUUGUGAGAUCAGUACAGUCAGGCAACUGCUGGUGUAAGAAGUAAUGUUCUAAAAUUAUCUUGGCUUGAAAUAAGAUGAUGGACAUGAAAAAACUGGAAAGCUCAAAUGUAAGAUGGGAUUAUUAGUAUUAUCACAUGCAAAAAAGCACAAAAGAAACAGAUACGGGAAAGGCCAGAAUCAUUUUCUAACCUACACAGGGAAAACAUUUAAAAGAUGGAAUUUCUUGUGUUAUAAUCAUGACAACAAAUUAAAGUCUACCCAUCUUUGAAUAUAGACGACUUUCAAAACCUCAUUCGCUUUAAUGUAUUGCCUUUAGUGAGGACUAUAGAAAAGAUCUGAAACACAAAAGUAUUUGGUAUCUGUGCUACGACCGCAUUUUGUCCAUACUCACUGCACUAUACAAACAGAUCUCAUUAGGCUUAAACUGACAACAUGAAAAAAGUCUUCCUCUCUUCAAAUGAUUUCCAUUUUACUUGAUUAAUUGCAUGCACUUGUAUAUUUAAUAGCUAAAAUAACUGACUGCUCAUCCUUAUCUAGAUGUUUUUGAAAUUAACAAUUCUUAAAAGGUUAUAUAAUUGAAAUGUUUGCAUUUAUAAACCCCUCAGUUAUUUACUCAAAGAUUUGAAGUGCUUCUAAAUAGUGGAUAAUAAAUACUUUAAAAAUAACCCAAUAAAUCAACUCUAUAGUUUGGAAAACUCAAUUCUUAUCAAGGCAUCCCUUAGCAAGACUUUCUCACCAAGAUCCCGGCAUAAGUGGGUGAUUACUUUCUUUAUUCCUCAACACAGAACCCUUAUCUCUGAAGGAGUCCUGAACUUAAUCCCCGUAAACCUUUCCCACUGCACAGACACCUACUUGCUUCCCCUCAAAACCUCCUUUUAGAGUAUUUCCACACACUGAACACCUACAACUUUCUCUGCAUCUGAUGAUAAUUGAAGUGGCUACAUAUACUCAAACUCCAUUAACAGGCUUGGGCAGCAUUCUGAGUAAUCCGAGUAUUAACCAGGACUCUGCUGAUUGCUUUUAGGCCUUGCCUGAAUGCUCUGAGAAGCACAUGAGCUCCCAGAAGUAUUGAUAGUGGCUUGUCUAGUUAGAGCUCCUUCCUAACCAAAAAUUAAAAAGGAGAA